UGAGAAGUUGCUUGACUACACUGAGU
rnacentral:piRNA from 2 species